AUACGGAGGAUGCGAGCGUUAUCCGGAUUUAUUGGGUUUAAAGGGUGCGUAGGCGGUUUUUUAAGUCAGCGGUGAAACGCAAGGGCUCAACCCUUGACCUGCCGUUGAAACUGGAGGACUUGAAUGCGGAUGCUGUGGGAGGAAUGUGUGGUGUAGCGGUGAAAUGCAUAGAUAUCACACAGAACACCGAUUGCGAAGGCAUCUCACAAAUACGUGAUUGACGCUGAGGCACGAAAGUGUGGGGAUCAAACAGGAUUAGAUACCCUGGUAGUCCACACUGUAAACGAUGAUGACUCGAUGUCGGCGAUAUACAGUCGGUGGCCAAGCGAAGGCGAUAAGUCAUCCACCUGGGGAGUACGACCGCAAGGUUGAAACUCAAAUGAAUUGACGGGG
rnacentral:rRNA from 1 species